GCCCACUGCCGCACGGGGGCGGGGACAGGCUUUGCUCCGAGGCUCGCCACGCCCCGCUUCACAACCUCUGCAACCCAGGCAUGGGCAUUACUAACAAGCUCCAGAGCAUGUUAAAGAAAAAGUCACGAAGCACAAGCACAGACCUCCCUAAGAAUGCUCCCAGAAUUAUGGAGACUUGUACCAAAUGAAGCUGAAGAGAGAACUCUUAAUGAUGGAGAACUGUUGGAAACAGGACUGGGAAGGGCUGAUCUGUGACUUCUAGCAAAUAACACAACUAUGUCUCCAGAACUGAGUGGAUACUGAGACCCUGUAAGCUCAGACCUGCCCAACCUAGAAGAGGAAAUAGCCUUGGGGAUGUCACUGUGUCCCUGCCAAUGGCCCAAGGCUCAUUAAGCUAAAUGUUUUCUGGAGAAUGUGGUUUUGCUUUAUAACAUCUGUGGAGAGAGACUACCUGUAUAUCACAGGAAGCACACCAGGACAGACUACACCAUGAACACACUGACAGCAAUACUCCACUCAGAGGGCCCCCGGUAAAAGGCAAGAUGGUCUGUCACAAAGAUACUAAUGUUACCAAAAUGAAGUAGAGGAGCCAGUCGGUACCAGUCACUGCAGUUAUCAAGGAGAUCAAAAUACCUCUGCUCAUCCUUAAAAAUGGUGAAAGGAAAAUAAAUUAUGAGAUUUUAGCAAUCUAAGGAGAAAGUUAUAGAAUUGCACAUCAUUCAGAAGUCAGAGCUUAACACCUCAAAGCUCUUUAGUGGAUUUUGUGCUUCUUAUUGUCAGGUCUAGAUACCUAGUAAGAAAGAUGAAUAUGCCAUUAUGCAUUUUAGGUUAACAGUCGAGUAUGAUGUAAAGAAGACCUUAAUAGGGAAGAAAUCUGAAUUUCCCUUAAAAAUAACAAGCAAAUAGUUGGACAAAUGGAAUGGCUUGUGUUGGUAGAAGUCAACUUAUUUCUCGAAAAAAAAAAAAAAAGGUAAAAUGUUAUCUUUU